UGAAGAUUCUAUUUCCCCCACGAUGUC
rnacentral:piRNA from 1 species